rnacentral:rRNA from 1 species
AAUGGACGAAAGUCUGACGCAGCCAUGCCGCGUGAAGGAUGACUGCCUAUGGGUUGUAAACUUCUUUUAUAUACCAAGAACCUUGGGACGUGUCCCGAGCUGACGGUAGUAUAUGAAUAAGCACCGGCUAACUCCGUGCCAGCAGCCGCGGUAAUACGGAGGGUGCAAGCGUUAUCCGGAUUUAUUGGGUUUAAAGGGUCCGUAGGUGGACCAUUAAGUCAGAGGUGAAAGCCCGCGGCUCAACCGCGGAAUUGCCUUUGAUACUGGUGGUCUUGAGUGUGCUCGAAGUUGGCGGAAUAUGACAUGUAGCGGUGAAAUGCUUAGAUAUGUCAUAGAACACCGAUUGCGAAGGCAGCCAACUAGGUCACAACUGACACUGAGGGACGAAAGCGUGGGGAGCGAACAGGAUU